rnacentral:lncRNA from 1 species
UGAAGAAUGUCACGUUGAGAAAGGGCAUGCUUUCCCUAUAUCAUUGUGCCUUAAUCUUCUUAGAUUUUUCUACAAAGAAAUCACAUUAAUCAAAUCUCCUUUCUGCUAUAUGAAAGGUGCAGGCUGACUAACGCUCGACUUUGGGUGAAAUUGGAUAUGGAAGAAAAUCCUGACUUGAAAUAAUACCAGGACUUUCUAUAAUCCUGUGUUGCUGGAGUCUUAGUUUAGGACUAUAAUUUCCAGCUUGGAUUUUGUGAAAUCCCAGAGUGCUAUUGGUGAACCCAAGAGGUCCUGUGCACUAUAACGGGGAACCCCCAAUUUAAAUGUACCUAAAAAUAAAAUAUUUGCUGUAAAAAUAUUUAGGAAUAGGAUUUAUAUGUGUGUGUGUUUCAGUCAAACAAAGAGCUGCAAUUAUAUUUCCAAGUACAAAAAGGCAGAAACUGCUGUUUAUCUGAUUCAUAAGAUUUUCUGGUUAUAACAAAGACAAAAUUUGUCUAAAAUGUAAUCUGACUUUUAAAAAUCUGAGUCCAGAAUCUGUAUAUCUGAAAUGUGGAUGCUUUUUCAAAGUGCUUCUCUUAAAAAAUUAUUUACUUACUUCAAAACUCCAUCUAUU